CACCAGCACUAUGGUCACAGGCACCCCAGGUAAGAGCAGAAGAGUCUGAGGCAGUGUCAGCAUAUGGCGGAAGGCAGCAGGGACAUGUUCCUUCAUGCCCCUGGAGAACAAUUCCACGACCCUUUUGUGGUCCUUCUCCUCAUACUGUCGGAUGUGAUAAGAAGCCAUGGGGAGACUUCUGACUGUCAAAUAUCAGUGAUCACAAGGAACAUCCAGACCUUCUUGCACAGCUUCCCUGAGCCCUGCAGGAAAGAGAGGAAGCCAGGUCAGCCCCCCAGUUCCCUCCCAGACUCUCAGAAGCCAGGGAGACUCCACUCACAGGUGUGCCUCUGUUGACACCCAAGAGGAGGCAGGACACUACUACUGGGAGAUGUGUCAGGUCAUCCUCCCCUAAUGCCUCCAUGUCCUCCCUUUUCUAGCCCUGUGUCCCUGGGACAUGUCCCAUGACCUCUCUGAACCUGUGUGUCUUCCCUUGUAGACCAUGGUAAAACAACACCUGAUUUCUAGGUUGCUUUGAAGAUUCAAUACAGGAAGCAGUGUGCAGAGCCCUCCCUGUGACCCUCCUUCCCCAGGGUCCACACAUUGAAAACUCCUGUGUCCCCAAGUUUCAACAAAUCCUGUUUCCAGCAACUGGAAAGAUUCAGUCUACAGAAAAGCAAAGGAUCAAUGCCAGCACUCUCUACUCAUGGGUCUUCAAGAGGGCUCUGGGACUCCAGACCCAAAGAGAACCAAGUCUCACCUCUCUGUCCUCUCUCGUAUUACCACAGAUCCAAGUGUCCAGGAUGGCUUCUGCCUCCGAUGACAUCCAGGAGAAUCUACCAGGGCCUGAUGAAUCUCUAUAGCACAGAUCUGGCCUGGCACUUCACUGGCUGAUUCCUGGACAAUUAUAAACCAAGGGUUAAGAGCUGAAA